rnacentral:rRNA from 2 species
UAUGACCUGGGCUACACACGUGCUACAAUGGAUAGAACAAAGGGCAGCGAAGCCGCGAGGUGAAGCCAAUCCCAUAAAUCUAUUCUCAGUUCGGAUUGCAGGCUGCAACUCGCCUGCAUGAAGCCGGAAUCGCUAGUAAUCGCGGAUCAGCAUGCCGCGGUGAAUACGUUCCCGGGCCUUGUACACACCGCCCGUCACACCACGAGAGUUUGUAACACCCGAAGUCGGUGGGGUAACCUUUUGGAGCCAGCCGCCUAAGGUGGGACAGAUGAUUGGGGUGAAGUCGUAACAAGGUAGCCGUAUCGGAAGGUGCGGCUGGAUCACCUCCUUUCUAAGGA